UGCAUAACCCGCAACGACAGAGAAUGCAUUUGUGAAGAAGUUGCUGUCCUGGAUAGUGUUGUCCCAGCGCACACACGUACAUUCUCCAAUAUUGUUCCUUCGAGUCGGAUUUCCUUCACCCACGACGGAGCCAUGGACGCACAGUGAACAGCAGCAGCCGAAAGCAGAACACAAGGAAGAGGAAGGCCGCGACAGCUUCCAGCACACAUGCAGAGUUAUCAGGCGAUGCAAGCAUUGGGCCAACAACUGUCAACAGCACCAGGGAACCAGCCUGCCUACCAGCCAUCCAGCCUGUGUCAUCGCCUGUGCAGAUCAUCUAUGCCAGCAUGCCAACGGCCGUUCAGGCCCAAUAUCAGCCUACGCCAAUGACACCUACCUAUCCAGCAUAUCAAUAUGCUCCAGCUAUGCCUGCACAGCCAAAUCAACCCCAGACUGCAACAGCGCAGUACCCUGCACACCAGUU
ensembl:lncRNA